GGUUAGGGUUAGGGUUGGAGUUAGGGUUAGUGUUGGAGCUAGGGUUAGGGUUGGGCUUGGAGCUAGGAUUUUUCUGAGUGCACUGAACCAACUCCCGAGUCUCUAGGACAUUCCUAAAAAAAUUGAUUUUUUUCCCAUAGGAAUGCAUGGGUUAGGGUUAUGGUUAGGGUUAGGGUUGGAGCUAGGGUUAGGGUUAGGGUUAGGGUUGGAGUUAGGGUUAGUGUUGGAGCUAGGGUUAGGGUUGGGCUUGGAGCUAGGACUUUUCUGAGUGCAAUGAACCAACUCCCGAGUCUCUUGGACGUUCCUAAAAAAAUUUGAUUUUUUCCCAUAGGAAUGCAUGGGUUAGGGUUAGGGUUAGGGUUGGAGCUAGGGUUAGGGUUAGGGUUAGGGUUGGAGUUAGGGUUAGUGUUGGAGCUAGGGUUAGGGUUGGGCUUGGAGCUAGGAUUUUUCUGAGUGCAAUGAACCAACUCCAGAGUCUCUAGGACGUUCCUAAAAAAAUUUGAUUUUUUCCCAUAGGAAUGCAUGGGUUAGGGUUAGGGUUAGGGUUAGGGUUGGAGCUAGGGUUAGGGUUAGGGUUAGGGUUGGAGUUAGGGUUAGUGUUGGAGCUAGGGUUAGGGUUGGGCUUGGAGCUAGGAUUUUUCUGAGUGCACUGAACCAACUCCCGAGUCUCUAGGACAUUCCUAAAAAAAAUUGAUUUUUUCCCAUAGGAAUGCAUGGGUUAGGGUUAUGGUUAGGGUUAGGGUUGGAGCUAGGGUUAGGGUUAGGGUUAGGGUUGGAGUUAGGGUUAGUGUUGGAGCUAGGGUUAGGGUUGGGCUUGGAGCUAGGACUUUUCUGAGUGCAAUGAACCAACUCCCGAGUCUCUAGGACGUUCCCUAAAAAAAAUAGAUUUUUUCCCAUAGGAAUGCAUGGGUUAGGGUUAGGGUUAGGGUUGGAGCUAGGGUUAGGGUUAGGGUUAGGGUUGGAGUUAGGGUUAGUUUUGGAGCUAGGGUUAGGGUUGGGCUUGGAGCUAGGAUUUUUCUGAGUGCACUGAACCAACUCCCGAGUCUCUAGGACAUUCCUAAAAAAAUUUGAUUUUUUCCCAUAGGAAUGCAUGGGUUAGGGUUAUGGUUAGGGUUAGGGUUGGAGCUAGGGUUAGGGUUAGGGUUAAGGUUGGAGAUAGGGUUAGUGUUGGAGCUAGUGUUAGGGUUGGGCUUGGAGCUAGGAUUUUUCUGAGUGCACUGAACCAACUCCCGAGUCUCUAGGACAUUCCUAAAAAAAAUUGAUUUUUUUCCCAUAGGAAUGCAUGGGUUAGGGUUAUGGUUAGGGUUAGGGUUGGAGCUAGGGUUAGGGUUAGGGUUAGGGUUGGAGUUAGGGUUAGUGUUGGAGCUAGGGUUAGGGUUGGGCUUGGAGCUAGGACUUUUCUGAGUGCAAUGAACCAACUCCCGAGUCUCUUGGACGUUCCUAAAAAAAUUUGAUUUUUUCCCAUAGGAAUGCAUGGGUUAGGGUUAGGGUUAGGGUUGGAGCUAGGGUUAGGGUUAGGGUUAGGGUUGGAGUUAGGGUUAGUGUUGGAGCUAGGGUUAGGGUUGGGCUUGGAGCUAGGAUUUUUCUGAGUGCAAUGAACCAACUCCAGAGUCUCUAGGACGUUCCUAAAAAAAUUUGAUUUUUUCCCAUAGGAAUGCAUGGGUUAGGGUUAGGGUUAGGGUUGGAGCUAGGGUUAGGGUUAGGGUUAGGGUUGGAGUUAGGGUUAGUGUUGGAGCUAGGGUUAGGGUUGGGCUUGGAGCUAGGAUUUUUCUGAGUGCACUGAACCAACUCCCGAGUCUCUAGGACAUUCCUAAAAAAAUUUGAUUUUUUCCCAUAGGAAUGCAUGGGUUAGGGUUAUGGUUAGGGUUAGGGUUGGAGCUAGGGUUAGGGUUAGGGUUAGGGUUGGAGUUAGGGUUAGUGUUGGAGCUAGGGUUAGGGUUGGGCUUGGAGCUAGGAUUUUUCUGAGUGCACUGAACCAACUCCCGAGUCUCUAGGACAUUCCUAAUAAAAUUUGAUUUUUUCCCAUAGGAAUGCAUGGGUUAGGGUUAUGGUUAGGGUUAGGGUUGGAGCUAGGGUUAGGGUUAGGGUUAGGGUUGGAGUUAGGGUUAGUGUUGGAGCUAGGGUUAGGGUUGGGCUUGGAGCUAGGAUUUUUCUGAGUACAAUGAACCAACUCCCGAGUCUCUUGGACGUUCCUAAAAAAAUUUGAUUUUUUCCCAUAGGAAUGCAUGGGUUAGGGUUAGGGUUAGGGUUAGGGUUGGAGCUAGGGUUAGGGUUAGGGUUAGGGUUGGAGUUAGGGUUAGUGUUGGAGCUAGGGUUAGGGUUGGGCUUGGAGCUAGGAUUUUUCUGAGUGCACUGAACCAACUCCCGAGUCUCUAGGACAUUCCUAAAAAAAUUUGAUUUUUUCCCAUAGGAAUGCAUGGGUUAGGGUUAUGGUUAGGGUUAGGGUUGGAGCUAGGGUUAGGGUUAGGGUUAGGGUUGGAGUUAGGGUUAGUGUUGGAGCUAGGGUUAGGGUUGGGCUUGGAGCUAGGAUUUUUCUGAGUGCACUGAACCAACUCCCGAGUCUCUAUGACAUUCCUAAAAAAAAUUGAUUUUUUUCCCAUAGGAAUGCAUGGGUUAGGGUUAUGGUUAGGGUUAGGGUUGGAGCUAGGGUUAGGGUUAGGGUUAGGGUUGGAGUUAGGGUUAGUGUUGGAGCUAGGGUUAGGGUUGGGCUUGGAGCUAGGAUUUUUCUGAGUGCAAUGAACCAACUCCCGAGUCUCUAGGACGUUCCUAAAAAAAUUUGAUUUUUUCCCAUAGGAAUGCAUGGGUUAGGGUUAGGGUUAGGGUUGGAGCUAGGGUUAGGGUUAGGGUUAGGGUUGGAGUUAGGGUUAGUGUUGGAGCUAGGGUUAGGGUUGGGCUUGGAGCUAGGACUUUUCUGAGUGCAAUGAACCAACUCCCGAGUCUCUUGGACGUUCCUAAAAAAAUUUGAUUUUUUCCCAUAGGAAUGCAUGGGUUAGGGUUAGGGUUAGGGUUGGAGCUAGGGUUAGGGUUAGGGUUAGGGUUGGAGUUAGGGUUAGUGUUGGAGCUAGGGUUAGGGUUGGGCUUGGAGCUAGGAUUUUUCUGAGUGCACUGAACCAACUCCCGAGUCUCUAGGACAUUCCUAAAAAAAUUUGAUUUUUCCCAUAGGAAUGCAUGGGUUAGGGUUAUAAUUAGGGUUAGGGUUGGAGCUAGGGUUAGGGUUAGGGUUAGGGUUGGAGUUAGGGUUAGUGUUGGAGCUAGGGUUAGGGUUGGGCUUGGAGCUAGGACUUUUCUGAGUGCAAUGAACCAACUCCCGAGUCUCUAGGACGUUCCCUAAAAAAAAUUGAUUUUUUCCCAUAGGAAUGCAUGGGUUAGGGUUAGGGUUAGGGUUGGAGCUAGGGUUAGGGUUAGGGUUAGGGUUGGAUUUAGGGUUAGUUUUGGAGCUAGGGUUAGGGUUGGGCUUGGAGCUAGGAUUUUUCUGAGUGCACUGAACCAACUCCCGAGUCUCUAGGACAUUCCUAAAAAAAAUUGAUUUUUUCCCAUAGGAAUGCAUGGUUUAGGGUUAUGGUUAGGGUUAGGGUUGGAGCUAGGGUUAGGGUUAGGGUUAGGGUUGGAGUUAGGGUUAGUGUUGGAGCUAGGGUUAGGGUUGGGCUUGGAGCUAGGAUUUUUCUGAGUGCACUGAACCAACUCCCGAGUCUCUAGGACAUUCCUAAAAAAAAUUGAUUUUUUUCCCAUAGGAAUGCAUGGGUUAGGGUUAUGGUUAGGGUUAGGGUUGGAGCUAGGGUUAGGGUUAGGGUUAGGGUUGGAGUUAGGGUUAGUGUUGGAGCUAGGGUUAGGGUUGGGCUUGGAGCUAGGACUUUUCUGAGUGCAAUGAACCAACUCCCGAGUCUCUUGGACGUUCCUAAAAAAAUUUGAUUUUUUCCCAUAGGAAUGCAUGGGUUAGGGUUAGGGUUAGGGUUGGAGCUAGGGUUAGGGUUAGGGUUAGGGUUGGAGUUAGGGUUAGUGUUGGAGCUAGGGUUAGGGUUGGGCUUGGAGCUAGGAUUUUUCUGAGUGCACUGAACCAACUCCCGAGUCUCUAGGACAUUCCUAAAAAAAAUUGAUUUUUUUCCCAUAGGAAUGCAUGGGUUAGGGUUAUGGUUAGGGUUAGGGUUGGAGCUAGGGUUAGGGUUAGGGUUAGGGUUGGAGUUAGGGUUAGUGUUGGAGCUAGGGUUAGGGUUGGGCUUGGAGCUAGGACUUUUCUGAGUGCAAUGAACCAACUCCCGAGUCUCUUGGACGUUCCUAAAAAAAUUUGAUUUUUUCCCAUAGGAAUG
rnacentral:lncRNA from 1 species